rnacentral:rRNA from 2 species
AGCCUGAUGGAGCAACACCGCGUGAGUGAAGAAGGGUUUCGGCUCGUAAAGCUCUGUUGUUGGAGAAGAACGUGCGUGAGAGUAACUGUUCACGCAGUGACGGUAUCCAACCAGAAAGUCACGGCUAACUACGUGCCAGCAGCCGCGGUAAUACGUAGGUGGCAAGCGUUAUCCGGAUUUAUUGGGCGUAAAGCGAGCGCAGGCGGUUGCUUAGGUCUGAUGUGAAAGCCUUCGGCUUAACCGAAGAAGUGCAUCGGAAACCGGGCGACUUGAGUGCAGAAGAGGACAGUGGAACUCCAUGUGUAGCGGUGGAAUGCGUAGAUAUAUGGAAGAACACCAGUGGCGAAGGCGGCUGUCUGGUCUGCAACUGACGCUGAGGCUCGAAAGCAUGGGUAGCGAACAGGAUUAGAUACCCUGGUAGUCCAUGCCGUAAACGAUGAGUGCUAGGUGUUGGAGGGUUUCCGCCCUUCAGUGCCGGAGCUAACGCAUUAAGCACUCCGCCUGGGGAGUACGACCGCAAGGUUGAAACUCAAAGGAAUAGACGGGGGCCCGCACAAGCGGUGGAGCAUGUGGUUUAAUUCGAAGCUACGCGAAGAACCUUACCAGGUCUUGACAUCUUGCGCUAACCUAAGAGAUUAGGCGUUCCCUUCGGGGACGCAAUGACAGGUGGUGCAUGGUCGUCGUCAGCUCGUGUCGUGAGAUGU